rnacentral:misc_RNA from 1 species
GUUUCUGAGAAGCAGAAGAUUUGGGCGAGGAAUGCGGGAAGACGGGGUAUCGUUGUCUUCAUCGUCAGCAAAGCUGAGAAGCCUCCUGGGUUUGGACGAAAAUUAAGAGGCAGAAGGUUUACGUGAGGAGCGGAAGAAGGGGCGGAGUUGUGAACGUUGGAGCUAGUGUCAUUAUUGUCGUCAUAGUCAUCGCAUCGACGGCGGAAGUUUCCGGAUUUGAUAGAACUGCCCAUGGUGCUUGUGCGCCUAGAGAAUGCUUUCCUAUCUGGUUAUCUGUUGGUAUUUGAGAAAACAAGUUAUAGCUUGCAGUCCCAUACUCAGACAACAACCAGUCGGUUGAUAGUUGUUACUCAAAUCCCUCCAUUCCAACUCUCCCCUCAAUUUUUUGGUUCUUACCAGUGGCGGAGGUAGGGGGGCUAGG